UACGUAGGGGGCAAGCGUUGUCCGGAAUCAUUGGGCGUAAAGAGCGUGUAGGCGGCCCGAUAAGUCCGCUGUGAAAGUCCAGGGCUCAACCCUGGGAUGCCGGUGGAUACUGUCGGGCUCGAGUCCGGAAGGGGCGAGUGGAAUUCCUGGUGUAGCGGUGAAAUGCGCAGAUAUCAGGAGGAACACCGAUGGCGAAGGCAGCUCGCUGGGGACGGUACUGACGCUGAGACGCGAAAGCGUGGGGGAGCAAACAGG
rnacentral:rRNA from 1 species